rnacentral:lncRNA from 1 species
CCCCAAUCCAAUAUGACUGGUGUCCUGAUAAAAAUGGGAAUUUUGGACACAGACACAGUCACGCACAGAGAGAUGACUAUAUGAAGAGACCCAGGGAGAACGCCACGGGAAGAUGAAGGCAGAGAUCAGGAUGAUGAAUCUACAAGUCAAGGCAUGCCAAAUAUUGCCAGCAAGCCACUAGAAGCUAGGACAGAGGCGUGGAACAGAUUCUCCCUCACAGCCCUCAGAAGGAACCAACCCUGCUGAUGGGACAGCUUGAUUUCAGACUGCUAGCCUCUGGAAACAACAAUAAAAAAGCUUGUUUGGGGCAAUGAAGAGGUGAAAGCACACGUGAGUAAGCAAGAAAAUUGACCUAGAGGAAGUGAUCAAUCUAAACAGCAGAGAAGUAGUGCUUCUGGAAAAACCCUAAUCACACUCAUUCGCUUUGCAGUAAUGAAGUGGAAAAGGCACCUUAUCAAGACAAGUUGGAAUGGGGAAACUUCUGAAGCCUCCUCUGGUCCACCUGCUCUUGAUGUCACACGUGGCAGCUGUCCCUGCAUUGUUCUGAGUCACAUUUAGGCUACCGCUGCUGCUGCUGCUGAUGAUACUGAUGCACCAGACUGCUGAGGCUCAUCUUUCUUCUGCAACAUCUCUUCUGAGCUAGGCUCCUGCACCCACUGCUUUGAUCCACCUUGUGAAGGGUACAGUUUUAUUAGGUUUGUUUCCAAGUUGUGCGUUUACUGAUGACAUGGUGGGGUUGGUUUGAUUUCCAUAACAGCCAUGAUCACUGCCGUCCUUCUUGAACCCUGGGGACCCCCACAAAGUCCUUGUCGCACUUGUUCAUCCACUGGGUUAAAGAUCCUCCUAAAGCUAUAAAAGGCUUCCUCAUAAUUUGCCUUUUGUUUUGCCACUCCUAGCCCCUCUUUAUACAACUUGCCUAAAUAUCUGAACCCCAAUAUUGUACGUACUAUAAAUUUUUUUCCCAGAAAGAUUCUGAGCCCCUAUCAUUGGAUUUAAAUAAACAUCAGGACAGGAAAGGUCAGAUAAUUCCAUCAGUAAAACAUAUCUGAACUCCAUCUCCCACCAAGAAAGCACUCCUGGUACUUCAGUAGUUUUUGGUUUUUUAAAUUAGAAUAGCCAACCACAUAAUUUGGGGUCCUAAAACAAAGUGUACAACUGCAGUAUUCUUGAAGUGAUCAAGAAUCAUGAAACAUAAAAAUCUCAUAGCCAAGAGCACAUUAGACACUGAUCUGUUUCUUUAGAUUGAGGUCGUAUUUUAAUGGAAGCAUACUUGGUUAAAGAUGAAGUGACCCUUUAUUGAUUUGUUUAAUGAAAUAUUCUGUUUCCAUAUAAUGAGGACAACAGCAUUUGUCUAAUAUCUAUCUAGAGGGGUAUCUAUCUAACACCUAAAUGUCUACCUAAUAUCUAAAUGGAGGGAUUUCCCUUCUUCCUUAAGUUACACUAAUUGUGAUUGUAUUAAUUUCCACUCAAGGUCAUAUUUCAUUUGUAGUUAUUGUACUUAUUUCCCUUUAAGGUCAUAUUUCAUUUGCAUAAAUGGAAAACAAAAUCUAAUAAUGCUAAAUGAAUUUGGUAAUCUUUAGGAAGUAACCAGUUCCUUUAAAUAUAAACACACUAUAUUCAUUCCUUCUCUAUUAAAUUAUACUCUUUUAUUCUCCAGCAUGAUAGAAAAUAAUAGGAUAAAUUAGUACAUGUAUUUGUUACUGCUCUUAAGGUAAAAUUUUAAAAUCCUUUAUCUAGUUUAUGAGAAUCUGGCCCCAGUUUAUCUCUCAAGCUGGAUUUUCUUCCUCUUUCUCCUAACUAUAAGUACUAAAGCCAAACCAGACUUCUUUCAGCUCCUUCAACACUGUGAUUUUGCUUAGCUCCCAGCCUUUGCCUAGCCUCUUUCCUCCACCCAGAAUGUUCUUAUCCAACCCCAUCUUCACCCAGCACUCUUGUCCUUUCUUCAAGACUUAGCUUAAAUAUCACACCAUCAAAGGUCCCCAUCCUCCACCCAGCUGCUACAACCAGAUUAAGUGCCCGCAUUACAAACUCCUCAGACCAACAUUUAACUUGACCACCACCAUUGACCAACACUUAACACAGUCUCUGGCACAUGGUAGGUGCUCAAUGAAUAAUUAUUGAGCUGUAAUAAACAUUUCUGUAGUGUAAUAUCAAUAUGGUUUGUUAGGCUAGAGGUGAAAGCAUAUUUAUUACCCAAUUUCAAUUACAUAGCACAAAUAAUCUUUGAUCCCAAACAUCUCCUUCAAUCAAAAACUUUAUGAUUUUAAAAAAUAUGCUGGUGACAGUUCAUUUCACGCGUCCACUUGGUUAGGCUACAGUGCCCAGUUGUUUGGUCAACUGGUCUAGCUGUAAAGGUAUUUUGUAAAUGUGACUAACCUUCACAAUCAGUUGACUUUAAGUAAAAGAGAUUAUCUUCAAUAAUGUAGAUGGGCCUCCUUCAAUAAGUUGAAGACCUUAAGAGCAAAAACUGAGAUUUUGGAUAAGGAGGGAUUCUGCAAGAUUAACAUAGAAAUCCUGCCUGAAUUUCUAGUCUACCAGCCUGCCUUACAGUUUUCAGACUCAAAACUGCAACAUCAACUCUUACCCGAGCUUCCAGUUUUCCAGCCUGCUGAAACCCAUAAAUGCAUAGAUAAACAAAUGAAUGAAUAAACGCUAAGUCCAUGUGAAAAUUUAUCUAUAAUUCUUUUUUUUUUUUGUAAGAUUGGCACCUGAGCUAACAACUUCUUCUUCUUUUUGUUUUUUCUUUCUUUCUGCUUUUUCUCCCCAAAUUCCCCCAGUGCACAGUUGUAUAUUUCAGUUGUGGGUCCUUCUAGUUGUGGUACAUAGGACGCUGCCCCAACACGGCCUGACGAGCAGUGCCAUGUCUGCACCCAGGAUCCGAACCAGCCAAACCCUGGGCCACCGCAGUGGAGUGCUCGAACUUAACCACUGGGUCACGGGGCCGGCCUCCUGUAAUUCUUUUUAAAUAAUAGCAUUAGCUCAAUCACAUAUCAGUAUCAAUUGGUGUUAUAUAUUUCUGUAAGAUGUCCUGGAAAGUAGUAAAAGAGUAAAGAAUAUCUACUUUCUAUCUAGCUACCUAUCAUCUAUCUAUCUAUCUAUCUAUCUAUCUACCCUUCCUAUGAUCUUUUAGGGUAAUAUAUAACAUUGACCAAAGUAGAAUAUAUUACUUAACUCAGUGUGACUCCCAAAUCUGAAAAUAUAUUUUGAAUUGCAACCCUUUGCGCUCAUCAUACGAUAAAUUUUAAGGUUUACUGCAUUGUUUUAAUAUUUUAUUGCUAUCUUUCUCCUUAAUAUGUAUGAUAUUUGUGUACAACUGGCAAAAAUUAUAGUCUUCAUUCAUGUUAGUAAAUUUUGGCUGACUCACCAUUCUAGAGAACUCAUAAAAACAACUUCAUUAACAUAUGGUAUAUAGAAUUUCUUUACUCUGUUGUUAAUAUUUCCUUUGAAGCUUUUAAAAUUCAGUGGUACCAAGUGUAACACCACUAUAUUUCAAUCUUAUCUAGUUUUUUGAGGUUCUGAAAAGAAGCUGACAACCACAAAAUGAAUUCUGCUUUACUCAUAUACAGCAUAGCAUGGGGUGGGGGUGUCCUACCUGGAGUCAAUUAUUCUGUGAGAAGUAAAGCCUGAGAAUUUCCAAAUUGCUGUUGUUAUUGGAGACUUUUUAACUUUUUGUUAUGAAAAAUAGUAUUUUCAAUAUCCAAUAUUGAACUAGCCAUUUCAAACAUAUAAAAUUCAACUUAAUAGUAUAAUGAUACUCAUCUUCUCAUCACCCACUUCCAACAUUAUCUGCUCAAAGACAAUCUUGUUUCAUCUAUACCCCGACACAUUCCCCACACCCACGUUAUUUUGAAGCAAGCCCAGACAUUAUAUAGUUUUAUUCUGCAGUGUCUUAGUAUGUAUCUCUAAAAGAUAAGAACUCCGGAAAUAAAAUAGCCACCAAAUGAUCAUCUCAUAUAAAAACUUAAUAAUUCUUUAAUUCAUAAAAUACCUUGUCAAGAUUAAAAUUUCCCAUUGUCUCAUAAAUGGGAUGUAAAAAAUAAAUUGUUUGUUCAAAUCAGGAUCCGGAUGAGGCCUCCUAGUGUGACGGGUCGAGACAUCUCUCCAAUUUAUUUUAAUCUAUAGAUUCUCCUUCAUCUACAUUUUCCUUUACAAUUUAUUUCUUGAAGAAAGUGGAUUAGGUCUCCUGUAGAACUUCCCACAGUCUAGACUUUGCAGAUUACAUCCUAGUCUGCUCUUUAAUCUUUUCCUCUGUCCUCAGUAUUUUUUGUAAAUUGGUAGUUGAACAUAAAGACUUGAUGUGAUGUGUUCAAUUUAUUUAUCUAUUUUUGAGAAGCAAGUCUCCUUCGGAAGUUGUGUUGCAUUCUUCAUCAGAAAUCUCAUAUUUCUGAUCAUUUUCAUAGUGUUAACAGCCAUUUUAAGUAUCAAUGAUAUUCAUUAAUUCAUGAGGAGCUGCUAAAUGGCUAUAUUCUAAUUCUAUGAUUCCUUUUCAUUUACUAGCUGGGAUAUUUCUAUAUUGGGUAACUUUUCCUCAUCUAGUGUUUGAUACUUUCUGAUAUGAUUGGUAAAGGAAUAGCGUGAUAAAUGCUUGAUCAUUUCUCUUUAUUUAUGAUUUUUCAAAAUAUUGUGUUUAUCAUCCUCCAAUCAUGACCCGUAGAACCUUAGAAUGUGUAUUUGUGUAUACGUGUUUUGCAGUGUGAAGAAACGCUGUUUUCAAGAAAACUAAAUAUCACCUAUGAAAAGCUGACUGGCUUUGCUUUGGCAAAUCCAACACAGACCAGGGUUGAUUUUUUUUAAUGCAGGAUCUGGGACCUGGUCGGACAGCAUAGACGUCGGAACUGUCACUCAGUAGAUAGACUCACCUUAUUCAAGGUCAUAGAGUUGAAGUAUAAAAGCCAGAAGGGUGGUUCAUCCUUUCUAAUGAGAAAUGCAACUCUCAAGUCAAUAGGAUACUUGUGAUCACUGAUCAAGAUUUUCUCUCCUGGAGAAAAAUUUAAAUAGGGAGCUGAAUUAUUAUAUGAAAUUUGCUUGGUGGAGUUGAUGUCAGAACAAGAGCUGGCUUGUUAGAUACUCCAUUAGCUGGCAUCAUUGUCCCAGACACCUUAAUGCAUCUGUCUCUAUUCUAGAAACACGUCUGUAAAUGGACCGUUGUAUUGGACCAGAGCAAGUGUUCAGACAAUUAUUUACCCUUGUACUCUCUUGAGCAACACAUUUUUUUUUCUUUCGACUUACACUCAAGCUUUGGAUUAACAGAUUCAUUUUAUAUUUUAAUGGUGACUUUGCAUAUUUUCAUUGGGAGCUGGAGGGAGAGCAAAAUAUCUUACCCUAAAGAAUGAAAGAAAAAUCUACACGAAUCAGAGAGGCACUCAGCAAGAUCUACUGAGAGAAAAGAACAUCAAAUUCAGUAAAGCCAAAGGGGAUAUACAAGGAGGGAAGAGAGUGCUGGAUUUACCAUAAGGAGUUGAGGAUUCUGCGGGAGGCCUAGUUCUGGCAGAGCCUGUGUUGGGACAGGAAGCCUCCCCCAGACUCUAUCGUAAACACGUGCCAUAGGUCAGGAACUGAAGUCCAGCACGGGGCAUGACCGUGGUGUGGGUGGGGAGCCCCAUCAUCAAGGAUCACCAGGGAAGUGUCCAUCUGACCACACGGUAUCGCUCUUGAACAAUUAGAACAAUCAAAGUCUCUGUGCAGUUAGACAAAUCUGGCUCUUUUUCUCUCUCUGUGGCACUGGAAUUCAGAAUUGACCCUUUAACCCUACCUAACUGCCCAGGGCUAUCGAAUAAUUUGUAGGGUUAGGAGUAAGCCCUCCGAGAGGAAGAGAAUGUACUUACUUUGAUAAGGCAUUUGGGAGCUACAGUUGGCGACCAGAAAAAAUAGGAGUUUUCUCUGCAUUUGCACCACAAGCUAGUAAUAUGGGUUGCAUUUGUUAUAAUCGCAUUACCCUCACCCUCACCAACAGGCACGGUUGGAGACUCCCUCUGUACACGUGUUAGGUCACAGAAACUUACAAGGCCUUCUAGGAGAGGCUGAUCUGCUUGGGAGGGGGGUAAGAUAUUAAUAAAAAAUAGAUUAGCGUUUGAAUAACUGAGGACUCUGGUUUAGCCAAACUGACACAUAAGGUGGCCAUCUCAAAUGUAUGCAAAUUCUGCUUAUGUGCUGCACACACGGAUGAAAUAUACCUUCACGGAGUAUAGAAGGAGGGCUUGCAGAGGGCUAAUGUCUCUUGGAGAUUUUCACACAGAGUGCAUACCCAGCUCCAAAAAAUAUCAAUUUAUUGUUGGCUGUGUAGACCUCACUGUAGCUAAAUUGUAUCUCCUUAAAAAGUAGGGACUAUAGGGCCCGCCCCAUGGCCGAGUGGUUAAGUUCACGUGCUCUGCUUCAGCGGCCCAGGGUUUCACCGUUUCGGAUCCUGGGCGCAGACACGGCACCGCUCAUCAAGCCAUAUUGAGGCAUCAUCCCACAUGCCACACCUGGAAGGACCCACAACUAAAAUAUACAACUAUGUACCAGAGGGCUUUGGGGAGAAAAAAGAAAAAUAAAAUCUAAAAAAAAAAAAAAAUGGUAGGGACUAUAAUUCUUAUUUCAUUUUUUUAAAAUCCUCCUUAGAGUUUUUUUUUUAAUGGUAUCUCUAUUCAUAAAAGGUACUUAGUAAAAUUGCACGGGAAGUUGAAAAACCAAAGAGAAAUUUAUUUUUUUGCCAUGUCUAAUAUUAUUCAUCCCUCUAAGUCUGCAUGAAAUUCAAAUAUUAAAAGACUCUUUGGGGGAUUAAAUCCUACUUAGAAAAUAAGGCAAUAUAGGGAGUGUGUGAAAGUAAUAAAAAAUUUCAAGCACCAGAUUAAAAUAUUUGCUUCACUUGGAAAAAAUAAUUAUGCUAUUUUCUAGUGCAAAUGAUUACUAGUAAAUGGAAGUGUUUUGUUUCUUCUUGCUCCCUUUGACUGAAGUGUAAUUCACACCAGACAGUCAACAGGCACAACUGUAGUCUCAUAAAAAUGGAGUAAUUUGGGGAGGAUUGUUAAGUCAAAGAAUGCCAAAGAGAUGGGAGGCAUUUUCACUAGCAGGGUUUGAACAAAAUAUUCAAGUGAACAGAUGCAGCUUACUGGCUUGUGGGACACACUAUACAUUUUCAUCUAUGCCUUAAUUAUCUUAAUUCAGGCAGCUGAGACAUGAAAGGCGCUUUCCCUUUCUUGUUUAAUUUUUAAAGAGACUAGAGUCCACUGCUUGCUGGUGUAUCUAUGGUUUGCGAACCACGGGUGAAGAAAUGCCUUUAACUAGCUUUGAUCUGGAGAGCAAUGGUGCUCAAACAAGCAUAUGAUGAGUGGCUGGGAAGCAGGCAAAAUGCAAAUUUCCAGGUCCCAUCAGUGACUCUGAGCCCACAGGGGUGGCAUGGAAACUAGACCAUUUUUGAGAUACUGAUCUGAGCCUGCUGGGAAAGUCCUGAGAAGAGGAUGUGCUUCGUCAUUUACGUCACCUGCCACCUGGAUCAGCCUAGACUCUCCACUGAAACAUUCUUGGCCAUGUCUAUAGUCCUCUGGUCCAUCCCAGGGCUUCUCUUCUUGCUUGAAAGUUACUUUAGUUCUUAUCAAAUUGUGAUAAACAAAAUGGAACAUUUAAUUUCAGAUUUAUCUUAGGAAGAGGGAAGCUAACGAAUUAAGAAAUUUCCAAGGAUAGCAUAAAACCUGGAGGAACGAGAAACAAAAGGAGCUCUCUGUUCAGAUUCCUGUCUCUGAAAUCCAGGAACAAAACAAAUUAGAAGAGCCUAAGGUACACAGCCCUGCUACCUGAAACUUAGCUUGAUGUUAAAGGUUUUGAAAGUGAAAUGAUCUUACAUGGAUAUUAUUUAUUUCAGAUUAAUUUGUGGAAUGCCAUAGACUAGUAGAAAAUGUGGGUCCUGGAUGAGGAAGACGAGGAUAUUUCAAGAUUCAAAAAGUGAUUCAAAAAGAGGGAGUCAGCCUUCUCUGGAAAUUCUGUAGACAGAACCAGUGAAUUGAUACAAAGGAUAAACUCUGUUUUUCACUUGGCUGUGAGCAACUCAAACAACAAUUGAGUGGCUUAGGAAUGCCCAUUCUUCUCACUCUCAGAGGCAAAUGGGUUGUUAUGCACAGGGUACAGAAUGCAUUUAGAAUUCAGGUGAAGUUCAGAAUGUGUUUGAGUUGUACUUUAAAAUAAACCAGGACCAUCCCUACUAAUACAUUUCUACAAAUAGAUACAGCUGGGACCUCACUGGUGGGCCCUGUGGUACCCACAUGGGUAAAAAAGGCAGUUAAUAUCCUAGAACAUUAAGUUUGAGAUGAUGUACGCUUGACCUUACCAAAAAAUCUGUCUACGUGUAAAUAGUACUACAUGUUUUUGUCUUUCAGAGUUUUGAAGAUUUUAAGUCUCUGAGCAAUCCAAAUCCUUUCGAAGUUGAAGAAUAUCUUUUUCUCAACAAACAGAAGCAUCCUUUUUAUGUUAAUACAGUCAUGCAAAGAAACAAUGACAGAAUAGUUGGUAUGGGAGUAAUGCCCUGAAAGAGAUGAGUCACUGUCUGAGGCAGAAACCGGAAGGCGUAAAGCUCCCUGUGGGGAAUACAACAAAGACGUGGGAACCAUUAUAGGACGAUCGACGUUGCCUCUGCCAUCACCUGGGUUUGUGAAUGGCUUCAUCAGCACUUCAUGCUAACACUAUUAAAUACGAAGUGUCAAGCUCAGCACUCACAGAAGGUGACCUGGACUAGAGCCAGGCCCCCAGCUGAGCCUGUGAUGAGCAUCCAGGAGCUGCUCGAAUGAGGGAUCAAUGACUUGCAAGUUUACCAGGCAGAAUAAUGAAUAGAAGUGGGACAACUGCAAGCAAAAUUGGCAUGAGAAAUGAGGGUACUGAGAGAGUGGCCAAGAGUAGGGCACAGCUGCAGAAAGUUGAGGAACUAGCCCGCUAGAAUCUGACCUGGGAGGUACAAACACAGCGCGGAAAACUUGGUAGUCCUAUGAGGAUUUUGGGGGCAGAGAAAAUACUCUGUAUGAUACCAUAAAGAUGAAUACAUGUCUUUAAACGUUUGUCCAAACCCAUAGAAUGUACAACACCUCUCUGGCGGGGGAUGUUGAUAAUGGGGGAGAUUAUGUUUGUGACGGGCCAGGAAAUCUCUGUACUUUUCCCUCAAUUUUGCUGUGAACCUAAAAUUGCUCUAAAAAAGAAAAAUGAAGUCAAUAAAAAAAAGUUUUUUGUAAGGAAUAAACACACUAAGAUGUUUAUAUGAGCAAUCAUUUUGGUUAGUUUCAAUACAAUGCUAUCUAAAAGAUAUGGCUAGUUGUAUACUUGCAUCUUCUGCUAAAAUGAUAUUUGAACACCUCCAAGGCUAUAAGCUUGCAUGACCAGGAUGAGAAUAGAGCCUAUUGAGAAGCACGAGGAAGAUGAGUUGGAAGAUGAACUGGAAGAUGAGUUGGUUGUAGAGGAAAGAUUAUGAUUUCUACUUAGAAGGACUUUCUAUCUCAAAUAUUCAUACCACUAAAAGAAUGCUGAAUGUUAAUAAUGACAUUUAAUGUUAUAGUAGUAUUAAAAUAGAGUUGCUGUAUUUUUCUUAGAGAGUAAUAAAAAUUGAUAAGGAUUUUGAGACACACUUCUAUUUCUCAUUUAAUUGCACUCUUUGUAUCCACACCAGCCCAUCAAUGUAAGAUAAGAGAAAACACAGGUUUGUAUUACCCAGUUGGAUGCUACGCUGAUAUUUACUAAUAGAACUCUGCUGAUACAGAAGUAGAUAGUAAAAUAAGUUUUAUGUCAAUUGCUCAGGUAUUUUAGGAGGAGAAGAUAAGAUUAUGUUGAAAAGUAAACUGUAAGUUCCUUCGCUGGAGUUGCUGUGAGUUUUUAUUUCUUUACAUGUCCUAGUUUGUGAAAUGCUCACACGUGAGGCAUGCCAGGACCUAAGCCGACAGGGAGGAGACAGAAGCUAGGGAAGGAGCCUGGGAAAUACAACCUAAUGCAAUAGCUGCCGCCACCUGUAGCAGCUAAGUGAUUCAUUGUACAAAAGGCAAGCGUAGCCCCAGUUGAGGUUAUUUCUAAGAUCUAAGGGUGUCCAGCGGUUAAGUGGGGCAGGGAUAAAGUAGAAAGUCAUUGUGUCAGUUCAUACUCAAAAACAAGUGGGCGUCAGCAUCAUUUUAACUAUUUAAUUCAUGGCGGAAAUACAGCCAGUGAACCGGAGGCUGGGGAGGAGUGAGGAGGUAAUGGUCAAAGGAAAGCAAGGUCUAGCCUCUGGGAGGGAAGCUUAAGGUAGAUAAGGAGAUUUGGGGUGGUGUUCAAGCCUAGGUUGGCGGAAGGGGUAUUAAAAUCAUAAGCAGAGGAAAUUGAGGCAUAAUAUGGCUGAGAUGAACUGGCCCAAUUGGUACUCCCAUUAUUAGCAAUAAACAUAAAAGUGAUAAUAGCCACCGUCUAUUGGAUACUUAGUGUGUACCAGUACAUUUUAUACAUCCUCUCAUCUGAAUUCAAGCUGUAAAACAGCCCAAUGAAGUAGUUACUAGGGUCUCCAUUUUUAGAGAUGAGGAAAGUAAUUACUGGAAGAUUUAAUAACUUGAGCAAAGUCAUACAAUUAGUAACAAGCAGAGAUGGAAUUUGAGUGCAGGCUUUCUGAUGCUCACACCGGCGCGCUUGAGUACUACUACAUAGUACUAGGGGUUAAAUUCUCUGACAAAAUUCUGUCCUACUUAGGAUUUGAUGAGGAACUUGAUGACCUGAACCAACCGCUGGAGGGAUCAGAGACAAACUUUAAAGGACUGAAGCAUUCUCUCUUUCUUCCAUACCAUCUAACUCCGGGGCCUUACAUUCCAUUGUUGAAUAUUUAUUGUUCAUUUUCUUAUUGCUUUUAAAUCCAAGUUAGGAAGAUUAAGGAGAGAACAACAACAAAACCUUCUCCUCUGCUAUGCCAGGAUGGAGAUUUAUGCUGCUUGGGAAAAAGAAAUUUUCUUCUCCAGAGAGGCAAGAUGCGAUAUGUAUCUUCCCAUAAAUCAUGAACCUUCAGGAUCCGGCUGUAGUCACCAUCUGUACACGUUUGAACAGUUGGCCAAUUAUGUCAAUUGACCCAAUUUAAUAAAUUUAUGUAUAACUUGAGUUAGACAUCUAGUGGCUAGCUAAAGAAUGUUUGUCUUUUCAGGUGUUCUCUAUUCCUAUGUUUGUCUAGCCUAUAGUAAACACUCAAUAAAAGUUGGC